GCGCCGCCUCAGCGCUCGUGGGCCGUGGGGCGGGCGGCGCGUUGCGUUGCGCUCUUGCCUCCCGCAGAGGCCAUGGGCCGCGCCGCCGUGCUCUUACUGCUGGUAGCGGCGGGGGGGGUGGCCGCGGGCGGCCCCGAGGUGCACAGCCUGCGGGGUGUCUGGCGGCUGGGCAACGGGAACGGCUCGCUGUCGCUCCGAGGGGAGGUGCCGGGCUGCGUGCAUACCGCCCUGCACCGCCGGGGCCUCAUCCAGGAUCCAUACAAUAGAUUUAAUGAUGUGAUGUACAGGUGGAUCUCACUGGAUAACUGGACUUACAGCAGGACAUUCAAAACUCCUUUUGAUGUCAGAAAAUGGCAGAAAGUGAAUUUGGUUUUUGAGGGAGUAGAUACAGUAGCCCACAUCCUGCUCAACAAUGUCACUCUUGGGAGAACAAACAACAUGUUCAACAGAUACAGCUUUGAUAUUACCAGCAUGAUCAAGGAGGUCAAUUUUAUUCAAGUCCAUUUCAUGUCAGCCAUUUCAUACGCUGCAGAGCAGAGCAGAUGUCACAAAGCAUACAGCGUCCCCCCAGCGUGCCCUCCACCUGUGCAGAAAGGCGAGUGCCAUGCUAAUUUCAUCAGAAAGGAGCAGUGUUCGUUUAGUUGGGACUGGGGCCCUUCUUUUCCCACUCAAGGAAUCUGGAAAGAUGUGAGGAUUGAGGCCUAUAACCAUUAUCACUUGAUUUACUUUUCUUUAACUCCUUUCUUUGAGAGGAGAGCUCAGCAGUGGAGUCUUGAAAUUGAGUCCAUCUUUAAUGUAGCCGACACCAAGCCAAUUGCAGGUCUUGCAACUGUGAACAUUCCCAAGCUGCAAACACAGCAGACAUACAGUGUGAAGCUGCAACCUGGUGAAGGCAGUAUUGUGCUGCUUGUAAACAUCAGCAAGAACUCUACAGUAGAAGCUUGGUGGCCAAAUGGACACGGAAAACAAAUUGGAUACAAUGUGACAACGACUUUCAUCAUGGAAGGAGGAUACCAGAUUGAGAAAAUUUCAAAGGCCUAUUUUCGGACAGUUGAACUUGUUCAGGAGCCUAUUCCUGGGUCUCCAGGUCUGAGUUUUUACUUCAGAAUCAACGGCCAACCCAUUUUCAUGAAGGGCUCGAACUGGAUUCCAGCAGAUUCUUUCCAGGAUAGAGUGACCUAUGACACAUUAUGGCAACUCUUGAAGUCUGCAGCAGAUGCUAACAUGAAUGCACUUAGGAUCUGGGGAGGAGGAAUAUAUGAGCAGGAUGAUUUCUACGAUAUUUGCGAUGAACUGGGAAUAAUGAUUUGGCAGGAUUUUAUGUUUGCUUGUGCACUGUAUCCAACAGACCAGGAUUACCUGGAAUCAGUGAGAGCAGAAGUUUCUCAUCAGAUAAGGCGGUUAAAAUCCCAUCCAUCAGUUGUCCUGUGGAGUGGUAACAAUGAAAAUGAAGCAGCAAUUGCAAGCAACUGGUUCUCCAUACCACAUGCUGACAGAGAAGUCUAUAUCAAAGAUUAUGUGAUGCUUUAUGUGAAGAACAUCAGAGAAAUAGUUCUUGCUGAAGAUAGAAGUCGUCCUUUUGUUGUAUCCAGUCCUACCAAUGGUUUGGAGUCCAUUAAAGAGGGCUGGCUCUCUAAGAAUCCUUAUGACACACAUUAUGGUGACACUCACUUUUAUGACUACAGCAGUGACUGCUGGAACUGGUUAAUGUAUCCUAGAACUCGUUUUGCUUCAGAAUAUGGAUUUCAAUCCUGGCCAUCUUUCAGUACGCUGGAAAAGGUUUCCUCCAGGGAGGACUGGUCAUACACAAGCAAUUUCUCUCUCCAUCGACAGCACCAUGAAAAUGGCAAUGAUCAGAUGCUUCAACAGAUUGGGUAUCAUUUCAAGCUUCCCCAGACUACAGAUCCCAUAAAAAAGUUCAAAGAUAUGAUUUACCUCACUCAGGUGAUGCAGGCUCAAUGCGUAAAGACAGAAACUGAAUUUUAUCGUUCUAGUCGAAGUGAAAUAAUCAAGGGAGAAGGGCACACAAUGGGAGCUCUGUAUUGGCAACUCAAUGACAUCUGGCAGGCCCCUUCAUGGUCUUCCUUGGAGUAUGGUGGAAAGUGGAAACUGCUCCAUUAUUUUGCCCAAAACUUCUUUGCCCCACUGCUGCCUGUGGCCUAUGAAGAUAACGGUGUGUUGCACAUCUAUGGUGUCUCAGACUUUCACACAGACCACAAGCUGACUUUAAAGGUCAUUGUGAAUUCCUGGAGUUCUCUGGAGCCAGUAUGCACACUUGCCAAAGAUGGUGUGACUGUUAAAGCACAAAGUGCUUUUUCCAUCUACAAGGAGCCCAUAAAUGCCUUGCUGGAAAGAUGCAGAAAUUGUACCAGGAAAAGCUGUGUUGUUUCUUUUUACCUUGUGGGAGAAGAUGGAAUCCAGAGUCCAAUAAAUCAUCAUUUCCUUUCAUCCCUGAAGGACGCUGUAGGAUUGGAAAAGACACAACUUAGUGCCACUGUAUCCCAACAAGAUGAUGUCUAUAUAUUUGAUUUGCAGACUACUGCAAUUGCUCCAUUUGUUACUCUGGAUGUAGGGAGCAUAAAGGGCAGGUUUAGUGAUAACGGUUUCCUCAUGAUGGAAAAGAAGAAAGUGGUUAUUUUUUAUCCUUGGGAGCCUACCAGUGUUGAAGAACUAGAAAAGUCGUUCACCUUGACUUCUUUGAUGGACGUUGCCUGAUGAUUUUGUUCCAGAUGACAAGACAGGGAGAGGAAAAUCUCAGAAGAAUUUGACUGUAGUUGAGUGCAAAGACUGAUGUUCUCACCUGUGCAUUGCUGCUACCUCCUGGCACUCCUUGUGAGCAGCCUGUGCACCACUCUGGGCCUUCUCUCCUCUCAGAGGACUUGUCUGAGCAUCAUGGAAUUUUAACAGCAAUAGAGCCCUAUAUAAGAUCAGGGCAAGGACAAGAGCACAACAGUGAAGAGAUGUUUGGAGUAUCCAUCCUAUCUACACACCAUCCCUAGUCAUCUGAGUGCUGCUGCAGAGGCUCAGCUGCACUUGUAUUGCCAGGUGUAUCUGAUGGGUUGGGGACUGGCAGUGGUUGGAUCAGGAAGCAAUUGGUGAGUGUCAUGGUGCAUGUCUGCAGUGUCAUUUAAUUACUGGUGGCCCUGUCUUCUAUCUUUUCUUUCAGCAUGUAGCCUUGCAGUACUUUCAGGGAUUGCUGGGUUUGCUCAUGCUCAUGUUUUUUUCUAAUGGAUGGAGACUGCUUCCCUGCCAGGCUCCUGCUGGGCUGUUCUCCGCCAAUGACAAAAGCAGCUGUCAGAGUUCCCUUCAGCAGAAGCCAUGACCAGAACAGAACUGGAGAGCAGCUUUCGGUAGAAAGCUCUAUGGUGUCAACUAAGGCAAUGCCCUAAAACUAAAACUGGUCUCUGACACCAACUUUGCCCUGAGGAGCCGCAGAGAUGGUCUGUCUGAUAGUGAGGGAGUUGCAGAAGACGCCUCAUUGUUGAUGCUUUCUGCCACUCGAGGAAGGCUUUUAUCUUCUUUUUUUUUCCCCUCUCUUAUGUUUACUACUGGCCAUUUCUGGAAACUUCUGGGUUUUACAUCCCUGGUUUUCAAGAGGUGUGUACCUAUAAUUGCUCUCUAAAUAUGUGGGUUUGUCAGCCUGUGUUACCUGUUGCUUGCAUAGCUCAGGGUCUGAACAAUUUGUCUGCUUAAGAGGCACAUCUUUCUUCUGCACUUCUAUUUCUGUCUUUGGAAAUGUGUAGCAGAGUAGCUUCAGUGACUUACAGCACCAUCAGUUGUAAGGAAACAGGUAGGUGAGUUUCUUGGUCUCAGAAAGAUACAGGGCUUGUAGCUUAUGAGCCACUGAGUCAUUUAAGAGUUCUAUGGGCUUUGGAUAGUGCACAUACUGCAGCCUUGCUCUGAGCAGGGCAUCACGUUACUUCAUAACGCUGGAUACAGAAAAGCAUCUCCUGGAAUUAACUUGUGCUGUCUUUUGCUUGUAGCUGUAGGAAUCUUUUGAAUCCAGCAAAAGUUUGGAUGAAACUUGCAGCAGUCACUGCAGGACUGUUCUGCUUUAAGAGAAUUGUGCGUCCUAGAAGAGCUGGAAGCUGUAAGUGAGCAUUGGCCCUUUGUGCCUUGAACUAAUGAACAGUCACCACUGUUCCUUGUCACAUCAAGGGAGAGGAUUGUUUUUUUCCUUAAGCGUAGGAAAACAGCACUUCACCAGCCCAAGAAAGGGAGAGCAGGCAUUUCAUACAUCACUAUAGGCUGGUACAAAAAAGUCACUGGAAAUUCACAGCCGUGGCAGACAAGGUCAGUUGAACUUUCUAAAGAGUCUUUUUAAUGUCAAACAUAGAGAAGAUCUGUAGUGUUCUGUUGUCACAUUGUAUUUUUGCUCUCUUCCCUAUUUCUGGUAUCUGUUGCUGUGGUACAGUAGCAAAAUAAUGCAGCAGAUCCCGAUUACUGCAGGUGCAGAUCAGCUGCAUUUCAGAUUUAGGUUCUUGCUGUGAUUUAUAAUUCAGUGUCUAAAGUGUCUAAAGGUUGCACCUGUCUUUAUUCUGGGGGAAAGUGUUUAAUUAAAUACCUUUGUAGGUAUUUCUAGAUGAAUCUCUGCCAAAGGCACAGGACAUGUGACUAGCAGCUCAGAGGGGAUGCUUAAAGUUGUUAGUAUAUGCGGUUUGGCCCUUCCUCCAGCCUUACUGUUCUAUUUGCUAACAGCAAUGCACUCUAGGCUUCCUGCACAGUAAUGCAGUAGUGCUUGGAGUAAAUAGGAGCUCGGCAGAUUGCUGGAGCAGUUUUCCUAAAGGUCCCGUUGGGGGAAAGUUAAAAGUAACUCCAGAAAUGCUGUUUUGGCUGUUCCUGUACACGUUUAGAACAAACACACACUUAGUGUUUCAGAACUUUAGUUAAUAACAGGGUCUGGAUUUUUGUUUCUCCAGGGGUGACAUGGGGUAGAAUAGGGACAAUCCCUUGUGCUACAAGCCUGUAACCGUACUGAAGGAAAACACGAGCAAUGAUUAGUCCUUGUUACUACCCUGUGUUGGUGUGGUCUUCUCAGUGCUGGGUGGGACACAGUUUCCCCAUAACCCAGUUAUGCACAGGAGCUCUCAAGCACUGAACUUCUGGGUUCUCUCAUUUGUUUGACCUGUCACACCUGGGGAACAGGAAUAGCACUCCUUUCUUGCAUAAGGUGACAUAAGAAUAAAUCUGUGUAUAAGGUGAGCUAAUGGGAUGUAUAAAUCUCUAUUAGUGGUUACCUGUUAAGAAGAAUACAGCUAUUCUACAUGUUUCUGUUGAGACUUGCACGUGCUGCUUACACUUUUCUCUUGCAGACCACGCUUCCUCUGUGCUUGCUUCUUCCUCCUGCCUGCAUGGAGGCAGCAGUGCUUGGGCACUGCCCCUUCAGUGUGCUGCCUGCCUCCUUCCAGGUGCCAGAAGAACAAGGCUGCGUGCCCUGCAGACCAUGACCUCCUGCUGAUAAGAAUAAAGGAACAAUAUCUGCAUUACUGAAGACUGAGGUGAGCCAGGAAUCAUCAGUGUGUCAAAAGCUCCCACCUCUGUGCCAAGAAAGCUGGCUAUGGGUGACAUAACAGCACUUUGCGUUUUUAUCAUUGAAUCUGAUAAGAUUUACAAAAACACGGCUAUAGAGUUGUUUCACGCAACCCAAGUAAGGACCAUUCAUUAGUUUUGCUGACGUGCAGAAUAGUUUUGAUGUCUCUGUGCUGCCAGAACUAUGAGAACUAUCAAGGACAAUGAAUUGGAGGCUUUAAUUCCACAGCACAGAUUCCCAGCUGCAGCUCGUGGUCUCGCUAUGUACAGGGAACUUCAGCCUAAGGACAAGGGUCUUACAACCCUUCAUUUAUUUUAGUAGUUGGAAAUGGUCACAACUCAGUCCUUAAUCUUCUGCAUGUGGAAGUUAUGUAAAAAUUACAGCGGCCAUAGACGAGAUUUCAUUUUGAGUUUUUAUUAUAAAAGUAAAAUAAAAAUAAGCUUUUAAAAAGCACACAUUUGUUUUGGUUUUUUUUUUAAAGGAACUGAUAUAAAAAACUAUUUACAAGUAGGAAAUGCAAACCUUGAUUAUUUAAUAAGAGGCACCAAAGAUAUGUUUAAAUACAUUAUUGGAAAUAUACAAGAUUCUCUCUUUUUUUUUUUUAAGGGUUCUUUUGUCUUCCAGAGUUGUCACUGUUGCCAUCAAAGUCACUGUUUCUCUUUGCCAAUGAUCUUAGGAGCUUUUCCCAACUGUGCUGCAAAACUUGUGACGGGAACAGCCAGAAGCCAUCCUUCUUUGAUUGCUGUGUGCUUUACCUCUUCGAAUUAAGUGAGCCCAUAUUACGCACUAAUAAGGAGCGACUUUCAUCUCUAAAAGAAAAUCCUCACAAACCAGGUGAGCUCCGUCAGUCCAUCAGCAUCCAGUCAGUCCUUUGUGUUAACGUGGCGGUGGAGCCCUGGUUCUCAGACAUGGCUUAUA